GACGAACGCUGGCGGCGUGCCUAAUACAUGCAAGUCGAACGCAGGGGGGACGGGUGAGUAACACGUGGGUAACCUCCCAUCAGAGGGGAUAAAACUUGGAAACAGGUGCUAAACCGAUACUGAUGGAUGGACCCGGGGGGCAUUAGCUAGUCUGGGUGGUAACGGCGCACCAAGGCAACGAUGAAUAGCCGACUUGAUAGGUGGAUCGGCCGUAUUGGGACUGAGACGCGGCCCAGACUCCUACGGGAGGCAGCAGUGGGUAAUCUUGGACAAUGGGCGAAAGUCUGACCGAGCAAUGCCGCGUGAGUGAAGAAGGUUUUCGGAUCGUAAAGCUCUUUUGUUGGAGAAGCGGUAUCUGACCAAAAAGCCACGGCUAACUACGUGCCAGCCGCCGCGGGAAUUC
rnacentral:rRNA from 1 species